CAUUGGUACAUGUUUGGGAGGUUUUGUGGCAUGCAAGGCCCUAUCACAGAGGAAUACAGACCCUACCAAAGCUUUACGCCCUUGGGACAUUAACCGAGAUGGAUUUGUCAUGGGGGAAGGAGCUGGAGUUUUACUUUUGGAAGACUUGGAGCAUGCAAAG